ACACAGAUCACCUGGGAUCUUGUUAAAGUACAAAUGCUGAGUCACUAGGUCUGAGGCGGAACCUGAACUUAUUCUAACAAGCUCCCAGGAGAUGUCAGU
rnacentral:miRNA from 1 species